rnacentral:autocatalytically_spliced_intron from 1 species
CAAAUUGGGUUAUAACCCCGUAGAGACUCAACGAAUAUUCGUUGGAAUUCCUGCAUAAGCAGGAGUUAACACGCCACUUCCUUUCAAUUGAUCGAAAGGAUAAUGAUAUAGUCCGAUCCUUCCGGUAACGGAAGA